rnacentral:tRNA from 1 species
GGGAGGGUGGCUUAGUAAUAGUGCAUCUGCUAGGCAUGCAGAAAGUCCCAGGUUCAAAUCCCAGCUCCUCCA